CCCCAGCUAUAAUGUCAACAGCUUCCAGGAAUACAGCACGGCAAGCUGGACAGGGUGGACAAACGUCACCCCAACAGCAGUCUAUUAUGAUUAUCAAGGCCGUGAUUCCUUCUGUGGCACCAAUGGCACCAGCCRCCAGGGGCUGGGAGCCCUUGGGGCUGAGGCAAAAAAAGGGCACUUAAUUUGGAACAAUGGUACCCCAAARGCCUUGCCACCAGACGUCUUUUUGAUAUGUGGUGACAGGGCCUGGCAGGGGAUUCCAAAAAGUGUAAUGGGUGGUCCAUGUUAUCUUGGUAAACUGACRUUACUGSCACYGGAUCAAAAUUGGUGGAAACAUAUCACGGAGAAUGAGACCACCGUCCGCGGUAAGCGAGCAGCCAUAGGGCUCUCACCUGAUUGUAAUGAUCAAGUUUCCCUACGCAGUCCCACUGAAAGAGUGAUUUUGUCCUUCUUCGUGCCUGGAGCAGCGGCAGGCAACGCCCUGAACCAGAUCGGCCGAUUGGCUUGCUGGGCUGAGAAGCAAGCUAACGUCACCACUGAGAUAAUAGAGAGCCUCUUAGAGGAUCAAGGUAGUUUGCGACAUGCUAUUCUGCAAAAUAGAGCUGCAAUUGAUUUUUUGCUACUAGCUCAAGGCCAUGGUUGUGAGGAUUUUGAAGGUAUGUGUUGCAUGAAUUUUUUUUUUUUUUUUUUAACAAAGCAGUAA
rnacentral:lncRNA from 1 species